rnacentral:rRNA from 1 species
GGGUAUGCGCGGCUAAACAUGCAGUCGAACGCAAUUUAUCGGUCCUUGCUCCUGGAUUCACCGGCGGAAGGGAGAGUCAUGCCGGUGAAUCUGCCUGGUAGUGGCUGACCAUCUCAGGAAACAGGACGCUUGUACCGCAGUGCUCCUGCCGGAGAAAGUGGUGUACCUUCGGACCUCACGCUGUCAGAUGAUCCUACGUCGGAUUAGCAGUUGGCGCGGUGAAGGCCUACCAUGGCGACGAUCCGUAUCUGGUCUGAGACGAUGAUCAGUCACACUGGAACUGAGACACGGCCCACACUCCUACAGAAAGCAGCCCUAGCAAUAUUGGACAAUGGGCGAAGGCCCGAUCCCGCCGUGCCACGUGCGUAAAGAACGUCUUCGCAUUGGUGAGCACUUUAUUCUGAGAGGAAGGGUCUUUUGUUAAAAACUUGCUGUUAUGACAUUACCACCUUAAUACCCUCCGGGUAACUUCGCGCCAACACCCGCGGUAAUACGAGGGGUGCACCCGUGAAUCGCAAUUACUGGGCGUAUUGCGCGCGUUUGUGGGUCAGCAAGUUGGAUGUGGAAUCUUCGGGAUCCUCAUGGGAACUGCCUCCGAUCCUACUGAGAUGGACUAUGGUAAAUGGGGGAUGUUAUUUCCUGUAUAACGGAGUGGUGCUUCCAUGUUAGCGGGAACAUGCGUGGAUAUAUGCGACGAACUGCACUGGAUACAGACGGCUCUCUGGGCUAGCACUGAGGAGCUAAGCUCGAAUAGAUGCGCUAGCUAAUCCAGGUUAUAUACCCUGGUCGACUCACCCCUGAAAUCCUUGAGAUCUUAUUG